UUUCCAGACUCCUACGGGAGGCAGCAGUGGGGAAUAUUGCACAAUGGGGGAAACCCUGAUGCAGCGACGCCGCGUGAGUGAAGAAGUCUUUCGGUAUGUAAAGCUCUAUCAGCAGGGAAGAAAAUGACGGUACCUGACUAAGAAGCCCCGGCUAACCACGUGCCAGCAGCCGCGGUAAUACGUAGGGGGCAAGCGUUAUCCGGAUUUACUGGGUGUAAAGGGAGCGUAGACGGCAGCGCAAGUCUGGAGUGAAAUCCCAGGGCUUAACCAUGGAACUGCUUUGGAAACUGUGCAGCUGGAGUGCAGGAGAGGUAAGCGGAAUUCCUAGUGUAGCGGUGAAAUGCGUAGAUAUUAGGAGGAACACCAGUGGCGAAGGCGGCUUACUGGACUGUAACUGACGUUGAGGCUCGAAAGCGUGGGGAGCAAACAGGAUUAGAUACCCUGGUAU
rnacentral:rRNA from 1 species